AUGAGUAUACAAAAGAAGAUAGCACCAUCAAAUAAACACACAACAGUGGAGAGAUAUAUAAGUAAAAAUGAAGAAAACAAUAUAAAUCAUAUGAACAUGUAUUCUACGAAAAAAUAUAAUGCACAUAAUAACUUAUCAAAUAAUUAUAACUACAUUUCGAGCUUCUAUAAAAACCAAAACAAUUUAUAUAGGACUGGCGAUGCAUACCAUGAAAGGACUACUAUGAGAACUAUCAGUAGAACCAAUAACGUUCCAAAUAAUGGUUCAAAUAAUGUUACAAAUAACGUCCCAAAUAAUAGUAUUACUACUGCACCCUUUAGAACCUCCAACAUGUACAACACAUAUAAAUUAAAAUCAAACGAAGUAAGAGUAUACGGUACACAAAACUUUAAUAAAAAUAAUUCUAGUAUGUUGCUACAAAACUUACAUAGAGAAAUUUUAAGUGAUUUAUUUGGAAACGGUGAUAAACAAAAUGAUUCAACAGAUGAAGUGGUAAAUGAAAAAGAAAAUAAAAAUAACAAAAAUGUAGAAGAAUCUGAAAACGACAAAGAUAAUGUUAUUUCUUAUGGGAUGAUAGAAAAUAACCAUAGUGAAUAUCUAGACACAAAAAAAAAAACAAAAAAAAAAAAAAAAAACGAGUUAUUAAACGAUGUAUCAAUAAAUUCACAAGUAUCGGAACAAACAAUAACAAAUAAUAACAGUAAUGAUGAAAUGUUAUCAACACAUUAUAAAAAAAGAAAAAGAAAUAACACAGAUAAUGUAAACAAUACAGUAUAUAAUGAAUUAAAUAAAAAAAAAAAAAAAAAAAGUUCUGUUCAUAAUAAUAAAACAUACUUGGUUAAUGAAAGUGAUUAUGGUAGUAUAUCUGACAAAUACGGAGGCUCAAAUAGUUACGAAAGUGAAGUUUAUGACAAAUGUGCUUCUAAAAAAAAAAGCCACAAAAUCAGGAGUAGGAGUAGGAGUAGGAGUAGAAACGAAAGCCAAAGAAGAAGCGAAAGAAGAAGCGAAAGAAGAAGCGAAAGAAGAAUCGAAAGAAAAAGUGAAAGAAAAAGU
rnacentral:lncRNA from 1 species